rnacentral:rRNA from 1 species
GAUGAACGCUGGCGGCGUGCCUAAUACAUGCAAGUCGAGCGAACAGAUGAGGAGCUUGCUCCUCUGACGUUAGCGGCGGACGGGUGAGUAACACGUGGAUAACCUACCUAUAAGACUGGGAUAACUUCGGGAAACCGGAGCUAAUACCGGAUAAUAUAUUGAACCGCAUGGUUCAAUAGUGAAAGACGGUUUUGCUGUCACUUAUAGAUGGAUCCGCGCCGCAUUAGCUAGUUGGUAAGGUAACGGCUUACCAAGGCAACGAUGCGUAGCCGACCUGAGAGGGUGCUCGGCCACACUGGAACUGAGACACGGUCCAGACUCCUACGGGAGGCAGCAGUAGGGAAUCUUCCGCAAUGGGAGGAAGCCUGACGGAGCAACGCCGCGUGAGUGAUGAAGGUCUUCGGAUCGUAAAACUCUGUUAUUAGGGAAGAACAAAUGUGUAAGUAACUAUGCACGUCUUGACGGUACCUAAUCAGAAAGCCACGGCUAACUACGUG